UUAAAACAAACAUUUUUUAUAUUUUAAUCAUCAAUACUCAGGAAGAUUCAAACUUUUGAAGAGAAGAAAAAAAAGUUAUAUUUGAAAUUUCAAUUCCCAGUAAAUUAUUGUUCAAACUUCAAAGAUACUGUAGAUUGUAGAGCUUGCAUAUUGCACAAGGUAGCGUUUUAAUUCUAGUGAAAGAUAGAUGGAGAUGUCGCAAAUUCUUUAAAUUGCUACGGUCGAAUCAUCUUCUAACUAAUUGUUUUAAACUACUGAAAGGUGCAGAGACACUUGCUUACAGCACUUGCAGCUACCUUACCAUUUUUAAGCUUCUUGUGAAAACUAAAUCACAAAAACACACACUAUAACUUGUGAUUUAUUCUCACAAAGACAUUAUUUCUUGAAUAGCUUGACUCUGGCUCAGAAUGAAAAUGUGGUGUAACAUUUCUUAAAGAAAAAUUUAUCUGCUGCCAUAUCUAUCUUUUUUAUACAAGUCUCAGCCUCCUGAGCUCAUAUAUUAUGGUCGCCAUUCGGGAGUAAUUGGUCUUGCUAAAGGAGAGCUAUAUAAGACUGCAUCUGGUGUUGAGCUGGGAAGUCAUGGAUAUGACAAGGUCCUUGUGGAUGCAGAGUGUACUCAUGACGGUUCAGUUAAACAUAUUCACAAGUUUGAAAAUUGGGGCUGGGGGACUUUUCAACAUCGAGUACUAGAUGCAGAGAGGACUGAUAACUUGCAUGUUCUGCAG